ACCCCACCAGCAGUCCCAUAAUUUGGAUAAAUCAUCUCAAACCGGCUCAAAUCAUGAUCCAACCUCCUUUCUACCUCCACAUGCUCCUCCACAUCACUCUCACUGGAUCCUCCCUCCUCCUCCUCCUCCUCCUCAUGUCCCUCACCCUCGUGCCCUGGAGACCUAAGCCUAAUCAGACCCUUCAUGGAUCCAUAGCCAUCAACACCCCAUUCCUCCUUGGCCAUGUCAACCAAGACCUCCCUUGAAGGUGAAAAUAUUGGAGUAGGCAGAACAGCUGGAGUUACAGGGCAUGGUGAAACCAAUUCUGCAAUUCCUCCACUCUUUUUUGCACGAAUUAUGUAGGAUGUUGUGUUCCUUGGAGCAAAUUUACCCCUAUUGUAACUAUUCUUGUUGUUAUUGUAGUUAUAAUACUUCUUGGGAAAAAACUUCCGGGCCUUC
rnacentral:lncRNA from 1 species